GCGGCGUGCUUAACACAUGCAAGUCGAACGAACCUUCGGGUUAGUGGCGGACGGGUGAGUAACGCGUGGGAAUCUGCCCUCAGGAGGGGGAUAACGGUUGGAAACGGCCGCUAAUACCCCAUAUGCCGAGAGGUGAAAUGAAUUUCGCCUGAGGAUGAGCCCGCGUCUGAUUAGCUAGUUGGUGAGGUAAGAGCUCACCAAGGCAUCGAUCAGUAGCUGGUCUGAGAGGAUGAUCAGCCACACUGGGACUGAGACACGGCCCAGACUCCUACGGGAGGCAGCAGUGGGGAAUUUUCCGCAAUGGGCGAAAGCCUGACGGAGCAACGCCGCGUGAGGGAUGAAGGCCUCUGGGCUGUAAACCUCUUUUAUCAAGGAAGAAGAUCUGACGGUACU
rnacentral:rRNA from 1 species